CAUCAGAAGCUGAGCAAGCAAUCGUUGGUGCAGACAACUGUUCCAACUGCUGUGCUCUAUGAUGGAUCCAUAAUAGACUUUGAUUCUCGCUUAUAUGGGUUUGAUAUUGGCACUUGUCUUGAGAGAGGUGACAACCACCAACAAAAAUCACGUGGCUUUGGCUCUGUUGAGUUCAGUUGCGUCGGUGAUGAACUGAACAAUGAUAGGCAGCAAGGCUUCUUCAAACCCAGUCCCAGUUGCCGAGUCCAUGAGGGUAGAAGAAUUUGAGCUUGUCUCAUCGGAUGAUUCUGACUGGACUCUCUUCUACAAGAAUGACUUGUACGAGUCAUGAGAUGUCUGAACACUGAACUGCAGUGGGGUUUCUCUGUUCAGAUGUUGUAUACCAAUUGUACUACUAUAAGCAUAGCAAACACAGGUGUUUGUGCUUGC